rnacentral:rRNA from 1 species
GAUGAACGCUGGCGGCGUGCCUAAUACAUGCAAGUCGAGCGAACAGACGAGGAGCUUGCUCCUCUGACGUUAGCGGCGGACGGGUGAGUAACACGUGGAUAACCUACCUAUAAGACUGGGAUAACUUCGGGAAACCGGAGCUAAUACCGGAUAAUAUAUUGAACCGCAUGGUUCAAUAGUGAAAGACGGUUUUGCUGUCACUUAUAGAUGGAUCCGCUCCGCAUUAGCUAGUUGGUAAGGUAACGGCUUACCAAGGCAACGAUUCGUAGCCGACCUGCGAGGGUGAGCGGCCACACUAGAAUAGAGACACGGAACAGACUCCAACGGGAGGCACGAGUAGGGUAUCUGAGUCAAGGGGCGAAACCCUGACGGAAAAACCCCGCGUGCGUGAUGAAGGUAUUCGAGUCUAAAAACUUUGUUAUUAGGGAAAAACAAUAGUAAAAGUAACAAUGCGCGACUGGAGGCUACCUAAUCAGAAAGCCACGGCUAAAUGCGUG